ensembl:snRNA U6 U6 spliceosomal RNA
GUACUCGCUUCGGCAGCACAUAUACUAAAAUCGGAACAAUACAGAGAAGAUUAGCAUGGCCCAAGCAAGGAUGAUACACAAAUUUGCAAAGCGUUCCAUACUUUU